AGAUGAUACAAUCUAAGGCGAUAUUGUACCCAAGAAAAAGGUUUGGUCACCUUCCAGGUAUUGCUGUUGGACAUCGGUUUUUUUCAAGAGCUGAAAUGUGUGCUGUUGGCUUCCAUAACCAUUGGCUAAAUGGCAUCGAUUACAUGGGAGUUGA